CCCCUCCCCAUUUCCCCUCCAUCUCUCCAAAGUUGCAAACCCUAGCCAUCCUCAAUCUCUAUUCCCUCACCACCAGCCGCUGCCCGCCGGAAAUCGUCUCACGGCGGCGGUGGCGUUCCAAACUCGCCCUAAUUGUCACCAUGUAAUCACCAUUCCCCCCUCUUUCCAAAUCCACCACUAGUUUCCCCUAAAUCCCCACCAAAUCCUUCUAAUUUCGGAUCUAAAAGUCCAGCAAAAUAAACCUAAUUUGUUUUCCCCCCUUUCUGAUUCCUUUGCUCAUAGCUAGUCAUUGUGACCUAGAACUUACGUCAAUGGAGUUUUCUUGAAAAGAACAAUCAAUUGACGAUGGUUGUUGUUCACUCCAAGUCUUCAGAGUUUUACUUCAGUCCAUCCUUUUUCUUGGGUACUUUUUGAAUCAUGAAUGGCAAUGGAACGUGAACAUGCUUGUAUGGAAGAUAUAUUCAUGCUGAAAUUAAUGGAGUUGCUCAUGUUAAAUUUCAACAUUCAUGUUCUUUUAAGCUAUUAAACUCUUUUUCUUUCUUUUCUUUUUUAGCUCUUACUUAAAAAUGAUAAGCUUGCUGUUUUAUUCAAUGGUUAGUUGGUUGUUCAAUAACAAAUGCUUAAUAGUUUAUUUUAUGUACUGGAUUUGCGUGAGAAUUUAGUUCGUUGAAGACAAUGUAUAAACAGCUCGUCCUUGUCUGCUCAUCGAAUUGGAUAUUGAUUAAUGUGUUGGUAAUGAUUCAUGUGGGGAAAGUUGAUGGAUCUAUUCUGAGGUCCAAGUUUUGUGUA